rnacentral:lncRNA from 1 species
CUGAGGCUACCCCCUGGGUUCAGGUUCCACCCUACUGAUGAGGAGCUUCUCGUCCAAUACCUUAGAAGGUCUUUUCAUUCCCUCUCCCCGCCGCCGUCAUUCCCGAGAUCAAUCUCGAAAACCACGACCCUUGGGAUCUGCCCGGUCCGUAUUAUUACUAUUUUUUUUAUUAAUUUUCAUUUCAUUGCGUAUUGACUUAAAGUAUCACUCGUUUACGUACUUACGUGCGUACUUAGGCGGCGGAGAUGAGGCGGAGGAGGAGGAGAGGUACUUUUUUAAUCUGAGACAAUCGAAUUGCGCGAAAAAGGGCAACCGGUCGGCCCGGCCGACGAGGUCCGGCUACUGGAAGGCCACGGGGAAGGACCGAC